rnacentral:misc_RNA from 1 species
AACGCACAUUGCGCCCCCUGGCAUUCCGGGGGGCAUGCCUGUCCGAGCGUCAUUGCUGCCCAUCAAGCCCGGCUUGUGUGUUGGGUCGUCGUCCCCCCCGGGGGACGGGCCCGAAAGGCAGCGUCGGCACCGUGUCCGGUCCUCGAGCGUAUGGGGCUUUGUCACCCGCUCGAUUGGGGCCGGCCGGGCGCCAGCCGACGACUCCAGCCAAUUUUUUCAGGUUGACCUCUGAUGAGGUAGGGAUACCCGCUGAACUUA